UUUUUUUUGGGGGGGGGGCAACGGGCCAGCAGCCGCGGUAAUUCCAGCUCCAAUAGCGUAUAUUAAAGUUGUUGCAGUUAAAAAGCUCGUAGUUGAAUUUCGGGAUUUGUCAGUUGGUCGGGCUUCACUGUCCGUACUGGCUUGAUGGAUUCUUACCUUCUGAAUAACCAGCAUGCUAUUAAGUUAGUGCGUUGGGGAAGCAGAUCUAUUACCUUGAAAAAAUUAGAGUGCUUAAAGCGGGCUUGUGCUUGAAUAGAUUAGCAUGGAAUAAUAAAAUAGGACGGCAUGGUUCUAUUUUGUUGGUUUCUAGGAUCACCGUAAUGAUUAAUAGGGAUAGUUGGGGGCAUUAGUAUUCAAUUGUCAGAGGUGAAAUUCUUGGAUUUAUUGAAGACUAACUUCUGCGAAAGCAUUUGCCAAGGAUGUUUUCAUUAAUCAAGAACGAAAGUUAGGGGAUCGAAGACGAUCAGAUACCGUCGUAGUCUUAACCAUAAACUAUGCCGACUAGGAAUCGGACGAUUAAU
rnacentral:rRNA from 1 species